CUUUUUAAUCUUUACUUACCGUUUACAACUAGUUGUUUAGCGUGUCAAACAUUGCGUUAAUAAUUCGGGCAUCUGCCUAAAAUUAAAUAAAUGAGAAAUUAAAUUUAAAUACGUGUGAAUUAAAGAAUAAAGUGCAAAGUGUGUGUGAAAAGUGAAGCAAAUUCGCGACAAAUACGAAAAAUUAGCUGCAACCCGCGGCCCUGCUUCAAUUUCCUUUUUUAUGCCAAUUACUUUUUUAAUUGCGACACUUUCAAAAAUCAAGAAAAAAAGUUCAUAAAUGUGUGCAAAAAGUGAAAAGCCUUUUGCGAAAAAUGUGAGUGCCAGCCGUUGCUAAUUGAAGUUCAAUGGAAAAAUGACCAAAAGUUAAUGAUGACAUUUCGCCGGGAGAAAAAAAAAUAGCAAAACACAAAACGUAAAGCAGCACAAAUAGGAAUGGAAACGAACGAGUAUAAGAGCCGAGUAAGCGUGCAAAUAAAACGAAAAAAAAAAAAAAAAAUAAU